rnacentral:rRNA from 1 species
GGAAGUCGAGCGAAUGGAUUAAGAGCUUGCUCUUAUGAAGUUAGCGGCGGACGGGUGAGUAACACGUGGGUAACCUGCCCAUAAGACUGGGAUAACUCCGGGAAACCGGGGCUAAUACCGGAUAACAUUUUGAACCGCAUGGUUCGAAAUUGAAAGGCGGCUUCGGCUGUCACUUAUGGAUGGACCCGCGUCGCAUUAGCUAGUUGGGUGAGGUAACGGCUCACCAAGGCAACGAUGCGUAGCCGACCUGAGAGGGUGAUCGGCCACACUGGGACUGAGACACGGCCCAGACUCCUACGGGAGGCAGCAGUAGGGAAUCUUGCCGCAAUGGACGAAAGUCUGACGGAGCAACGCCGCGUGAGUGAUGAAGGCUUUCGGGUCGUAAAACUCUGUUGUUAGGGAGAGAACAAGUGCUAGUUGAAUAAGCUGGCACCUUGACGGUACCUAACCAGAAAGCCACGGCCUAACUACGUGCCAGCAGCCGCGGUAAUACGUAGGUGGCAAGCGUUAUCCGGAAUUAUUGGGCGUAAAGCGCGCGCAGGUGGUUUCUUAAGUCUGAUGUGAAAGCCCACGGCUCAACCGUGGAGGGUCAUUGGAAACUGGGAGACUUGAGUGCAGAAGAGGAAAGUGGAAUUCCAUGUGUAGCGGUGAAAUGCGUAGAGAUAUGGAGGAACACCAGUGGCGAAGGCGACUUUUCUGGUCUGUAACUGACACUGAGGCGCGAAAGCGUGGGGAGCCAAACAGGAUUAGAUACCCUGGUAGUCCACGCCGUAAACGAUGAGUGCUAAGUGUUAGAGGGUUUCCGCCCUUUAGUGCUGAAGUUAACGCAUUAAGCACUCCGCCUGGGGAGUACGGCCGCAAGGCUGAAACUCAAAGGAAUUGACGGGGGCCCGCACAAGCGGUGGAGCAUGUGGUUUAAUUCGAAGCAACGCGAAGAACCUUACCAGGUCUUGACAUCCUCUGAAAACCCUAGAGAUAGGGCUUCUCCUUCGGGAGCAGAGUGACAGGUGGUGCAUGGUUGUCGUCAGCUCGUGUCGUGAGAUGUUGGGUUAAGUCCGCAACGAGCGCAACCCUUGAUCUUAGUUGCCAUCAUUAAGUUGGGCACUCUAAGGUGACUGCCGGUGACAAACCGGAGGAAGGUGGGGAUGACGUCAAAUCAUCAUGCCCCUUAUGACCUGGGCUACACACGUGCUACAAUGGACGGUACAAAGAGCUGCAAGACCGCGAGGUGGAGCUAAUCUCAUAAAACCGUUCUCAGUUCGGAUUGAGGCUCGCAACUCGCCUACAUGAAGCUGGAAUCGCUAGUAAUCGCGGAUCAGCAUGCCGCGGUGAAUACGUCCCGGGCCUUGUACACACCGCCCGUCACACCACGAGAGUUUGUAACACCCGAAGUCGGUGGGGUAACCUUUUGGAGCCAGCCGCCUAACC